rnacentral:rRNA from 1 species
GACGAACGCUGGCGGCGUGCUUAACACAUGCAAGUCGAGCGGUAAGGCCCUUUCGGGGGUACACGAGCGGCGAACGGGUGAGUAACACGUGGGUGACCUGCCCUCAGCUCUGGGAUAAGCCUGGGAAACCGGGUCUAAUACCGGAUAUGACUCCAUGACGCAUGUUGUGGGGUGGAAAGCCUUGUGCGGCUGAGGAUGGGCCCGCGGCCUAUCAGCUUGUUGGUGGGGUGANGGCCUACCAAGGCGACGACGGGUAGCCGGCCUGAGAGGGCGACCGGCCACACUGGGACUGAGACACGGCCCAGACUCCGUACGGGAGGCAGCAGGUGGGGAAUCUUGCGCAAUGGGACGAAAGCCUGACGCAGCGACGCCGCGU